ACGGCUCAGUAACACGUGGAUAACCUGCCCUAAGGAAGGGGAUAACCUCGGGAAACUGAGGAUAAUACCCUAUAGGUUACGGACGCUGGAAUGCCCUGUAACCGAAAGUUCCGGCGCCUUAGGAUGGAUCUGCGGCCGAUUAGGUUGUUGUUGGGGUAACGGCCCAACAAGCCGAUAAUCGGUACGGGUUGUGGGAGCAAGAGCCCGGAGUUGGAUUCUGAGACAUGAAUCCAGGCCCUACGGGGCGCAGCAGGCGCGAAAACUUUACAAUGCGGGAAACCGUGAUAAGGGAACCCCGAGUGCCUGUAUAUGCAGGCUGUCCAGGUGUCUAAAAAACACCUGAAGAAAGGGCCGGGCAAGACCGGUGCCAGCCGCCGCGGUAAUACCGGCGGCUCGAGUGGUGGCCACUUUUAUUGGGCUUAAAGCGUUCGUAGCUGGGUUGUUAAGUCUCUUGGGAAAUCUGACGGCUCAACCGUCAGGCGUCCAAGGGAUACUGGCAAUCUUGGAACCGGGAGAGGUGAGGGGUACUUCGGGGGUAGGAGUGAAAUCCUGUAAUCCUCGAGGGACCACCUGUGGCGAAGGCGCCUCACCAGAACGGCUUCGACAGUGAGGGACGAAAGCUGGGGGAGCAAACCGGAUUAGAUACCCGGGUAGUCCCAGCCGUAAACGAUGCGCGUUAGGUGUAUCGGUGACCACGAGUCACCGAGGUGCCGAAGGGAAACCGUGAAACGUGCCGCCUGGGAAGUACGGUCGCAAGGCUGAAACUUAAAGGAAUUGGCGGGGGAGCAC
rnacentral:rRNA from 1 species